rnacentral:tRNA from 3 species
GCGGCCAUGGCGGAACUGGUAGACGCGCAACGUUGAGGUCGUUGUGAGAGAGAUCUCGUGGAGGUUCAAGUCCUCUUGGCCGCACCA